GUAAACUAAGUACGGUUGAUAAAAGGGGCCCCAGGAGUUCUGGGCUGCUGUGGACUAAGUUGAUCUGAUGUCUGCACUAGGUAGGGUAUUGAUAUGGUGCUCCUGGAGGAGUCCGGGACCACCAGGUCCACUAAAGAUGGGUGCACUGGCCCAGCUCAGAGAUAGAGCAGGUCAAAAGCCCCUGUACUACUCAGUAGUGAGAUUGCACCUGAGAAUAGUUGCUGUAGUUCAGCCUGAGUAAAACGGUGAGAACGAGUCUUUU
rnacentral:SRP_RNA from 1 species